rnacentral:rRNA from 1 species
UACGUAGGGGGCAAGCGUUGUCCGGAAUCAUUGGGCGUAAAGAGCGUGUAGGCGGUUCGGUAAGUCGGCUGUGAAAGUCCAGGGCUCAACCCUGGAGUGCCGGUCGAUACUGCCGGACUAGAGUUCGGAAGAGGCGAGUGGAAUUCCCGGUGUAGCGGUGAAAUGCGCAGAUAUCGGGAGGAACACCUAUGGCGAAGGCAGCUCGCUGGGACGUUACUGACGCUGAGACGCGAAAGCGUGGGGAGGCAAACAGG